GAACGUUCCAUGUGCUUCCAUUCAUUGACUAGUGGCCAUACUCUCCAGCCACAGACCACCAGGAGCACACCUGGAGGUGAACAUCCGGUUGAUUGAUUCGUUGCCAUGAGCGAGCACGCACGUUACAGAGAGCCACGGGGGUUCCACGAGAGGUGUUCGAAGGACUGAGAGGAUGUGCACUGGAGUCAGUGGAAGAGAAGUCCCCAUGAACGGAAGGUGAAGCACUUCCAUUUUGUCCUCACCACAAACGUCUCCAGUGUGUAAUGUCAUUACGCCCAGCUCACAGGAGAAGAAACCCAAGCUUAGGACGGUCAAGGAGCUUGUCCACAGACGCACAGCCAAUGGUCUGACCUGGAGCCUGUGCUCUCAGCCUCUCCCCCAGCUUCCCUCUCUCCUUGAGCUUCUCAAGGCCUUCACUUGCUUAUCUGAAACCUGGGAAGAAAGCUGGCACCUGCUUCCCUCCGGUGGCCUGCGGCUCAGCCGGCGGGAUGCGCUGUUGGCUGUGAGCGGCCUUGCAGAGACGGGGUCAUCCUCCCUGCUGUGGCUUCGAGGGCAGCGUCAUCACAAAGGCCCUUAGCACGGACGCUUGAGAAAGGCUGAUUCCAGCGCGAAGUGAGGACAGUCUCUCCACAGCAAGUGCUCCUGAGAGAGCUGGGCUCCCUCUGAGGUGGGAAGCCACCCCCCCAGCAAACAAGCACAUGCCCAGAUGGCAGCAGGGGUUCCACUCACCACCCAGGUAGCAGAGGCUCCCAGAACAGGGCCCGCCCGGGGGUCCCUGCUCCGUGCGAUGGCCUCCUCUUCCUCUCUUCUUUCCACGGGCCCUCAGGCGAUUCUUAGGCACACGAAAGUUUAAGAAGCACGGAUCCAGAGAUCAGCGACGACACCCCUCCUGUGGUCUUCAUCCUGUGCCCUCAGGAUUCACCUUCUGUCCUCCAUGCCUCAGAAGCACGCUUCUCACACUCGUGUUCAUAGCAGCACUGUUCCCGAUGCCAAGAAGUGGAAGCACCCAAAUGUCUACCGAUGGAUGAAUGGAUAAGCAGCAUUUGUGAAACACUUCCAGCUUCUGCACCAACGUCGAAGGCUAAACCCAAGAGAGGAGUGCCGCUGACUGCCGCUCGGAGCCACAGCAUCGCAGCGAGGCAAGGACCUACUCCUCCUCCUGUGACAUCCCGACAGGUGCUCACCCAGCUUGUGCUCACACAUCCUCAGUGGCAGGGAGCUCACUACCUCAUAAGGCAAGGAAAACAAAAUGGAAAAAGCCGAUCCUGCUUUGAAGGAACUCAGUUAAAGGGAGAGAUACAGAGGACAGCAGACACCUGUGCGGCCAUCGCUGAGUCUGCGCACAGAGGGAAUGAAAGUGCAAGGAGGCCUGUAGGGAGAAGGCGGGAGAGCCAGCCCCAGCGAGGGCGGGGCCGAGAGCUGGAGCAGCGGCUCAGGGCUGGGGAAGUGGAGGCUGAAUGCGAGUGGAAAGGAGUGAGAGGACUCACAAAGGCCUCCCGUGGCUGUGGGGUACAGCUGUGCACUUAUUUGUCUGUCUAUAUGACUGUAGUCUGAAUCCCAGAUUCCAAGUCACCGGUAGCGAGCACAGUGCCUCCCCAGAGUCAGUGCUCAAUUAUCAUUUGCUGAUGAGCUUUGAAUAAAGGGCCGAGUUCUCGGGGCUCAGGGCACAGGCGCCGUGGAGGUGGCGGGUGGCAGAGGCGUCUGCAAAGUUGGGGACGGGGCUGAGAAAGCUGGGGAGAGACGAAGAGAGCUUGCACUUUGAUGAAUGUGUAGAUAUUUCAGAGAAGCUUGGACCAGCAAUUUGGCCAAAAUAGCACCAAAAUGUGGGAAGCGUAAUCCUAGCUUUAUGCGCCAUAACUAAAUAUCAUUAAAAUCUGGUAGAUAAUUAAUACCCAAUAAAGGAAAGUUACAGUAAUUAUUUUAUAAUUUACCCAAAAUCUUAUUAUAUGUAGCAGUAUCUAAGGUCAGUUGUCUACCUCAACUUGAUGGUUUUGCUAAAUAAAUGACUAAAACAAAAAAGAUCCUUUAGUAAUAAAGGUUAAAAUGCAAGACUUGAAGUAAAGUAGAUUUAAUUUCUGAAUAUAGCUUUGCCACAUUCUGUGACCUUAGACAAUUAACCUAACCUCUCUGAUCUUUAGGCAUCCUUUCCAUAAAAUGGAGCUAAAAUGACAAAUUUCACUGUAAAUUAAAUGAUGUGUGUUUCAGUUACCUAUUGCUGCCUACCCAACCUCCUCUAAAGUUAGUACCUUGAAAAAGCAACUUCCUGAGUCUCUGGGCUCUGCCAGGCAGUUCUGCCGUGUGGCUGUGGGCAGAGCCCAGCUGGGGCUGGAGUCCUCUGAAGGUUCAGUUGCACUGGAUGUCCGAGAGGGUGCCCUCCUAGAGCUGGCAGUUGACGUCGGCCGGGAGCUCAUCGGGGCCUGUCGAUUGGAACACCUAAAAUGGCCUUUCCAGGGGGCAUGGAAUUCUCAUAGCCCUGGGGCUGGUUUCCAAGAGGGAGCAUCCUAAGAGCCAGCGUUACAGAAGACCUGGGCACAAAUUGCUUCUUGUGGCCUUGCCCCGGCAGUUCCAGAUCAUGAUUUCUGCUGUGUUCUGUUGGCCAAGUAAGUCACUGAAGCCAGCCCAGGUUCAAGGGGAAGGUUCGAGUGGGUGUCACCUCUUGGCGUGAGGAGCAGUGUGGACAGACGAGAGGGAAGGAGUUGGGGGCAGCCACCUUUGGGGACUAUCAAACACAGCACAUGGCACAGCACGGGCUCUGAUGAACGUCAGUGCUCUCCUCCCCAUUUUCACUUUGACGCAUUACUUUCUCAAAAUCCUUUUAGUAUAUACUUUUAGGGAGUCAGAGCUUAGCAGAAUGGCACUUUAAAGAUGAUCUAAGAGAUUUCUCUGUUGUUCUUCAGAUGGGAAAACUGAGAUCCAAAGGAAGGAAAGACUGAGCCCAUGGCCUCUAUCACUUGGCUGCAUCCCAAGGGGCUCACAGAAUGAGUCCUUCGAAAGUGUUUGCUCAUGAAACAAACACUCCGCAUCACUGUACUGUUUUUAAAGUAUUCCCGUGUGUACACUGAAAGGCAAAGUGAGGCAGUGAAUGGUUACCAGAUUUGGGAAUAAAUAGAUCUGUGUUAGAAUGUUAGCUCUUCUAUUUACUUUAUGAUUUUAGGCAAAUUGCUUAACUUCUCUGAGCUUCACUCUCCUUAAUUCUAAAGGCAGUCUAAUAAAGCGUAGUUUUCUAAGACAUUGUUAGUGCUGAGGUCAUUAAUGUCCAGGAGCUUAUACAAACCAGGUGCUCAGUAUUUGGCAGCCAUUUUUCUUUCUUAUUCAGUUUGACAAAAGCCCUGUGAGGUAGGCAUUGUCCUCCCACUUUACAGAUUGGAAAGCUGGGCUUUGAAAAGAAUAAGGGCUUUGCUUAGCAACAAACAGCUAGCAAACAGCCGCUCUGAGACUUGAAAGUCAGCAUUGACUCAGCCGGGAGCACCUUCCUCCCCGUCACCCCCGCCCUCACUGCCCACGCAUCCAUCCUUUGCGGUCCACUCUAGACAGCAGGGAGAGAUCCCAGGUGGCAACAGUUUGAAACAUUAAUGACUACUUAGGAUUUUUUUUCCAUUGGAGGAGGGAAAUCUCCAGAUCAUAGUCUGCCCAAUAAUUUAGCACUUAGACUAGCACUUCAGAGUUUUUAAAGUUUCCAUGUUUCUUUGAUCUCACAGCAUGUGAGUUAGCAAAAGCCAAGAUCAUCUUGCCUAUCAUACAUGAGAAAAUCAAGGCUUACUUUCAGCAAACUGACCUUGGCUUCCCUUCAUAUUCUGGGGAGAGCAUACCAAUCAUACUGUUUGCCAUUAGGCAGAAAGAAAAAAAAUAGAGGGAGUCCAGAAGAUUCUGAGUACACCCUUUUCAUCUUCAUUAAACUGGUGUCAUAAUUGCCUUUUGUAAGCCAACUAUGAACCUUGUCAAAAACUGUGACAUCCCUGGAAGGGCGUCAUAAACAGGAUAAUUAGAGCAAGAGUGAGACAGAAACCAUGCGGGCAGAGAAGGGAAACCAGCUAUCCAAUGGACGGACUCUGGCCGGCCCCCACAGGGAUCUUCCCUCAUGACCCACCGGGCAGGAAAGGAGCAUGCCCCGUUCUCCACUCACCCACCCCUUUUAUUUGCUGAUCCCGCUCUCCACACAGAUGUUGACAUCUGCGUCAGAAUUCAACACGGGGCCAGUCAUUGGGAAGAAGGCUACGCCCAUCUGUGCGUGGCACACGUUGUAGAAAGGUUAUUUGGAAAGAUGUGCUGUACAUCCCACGAGAGAGUGACUUGAGAGGAAAAGUAUUUUUUACUAGUUGUUUUUUGGGUUGCCUCUCUCCCCAACUAUUACCCCCUCCGAUACUACAUGGAAAUUCACUUGGAGUCUUCGUUUCCCUCUCCAUCCCUCUACAGAGCAAAAGCGGAGUUUGCAACACAUUUUCAUUUCCAAAGGAUAAAAUAGUGGAGGGGUGCCUGGGCAAGGAGCUCUCAGGCCUGGGAGAAACCAGCUUGUUUGCGGUGUUUCUGUGCACCGUCACCAGCAGUCAGAAGGCUCAGGUGAGAGGACCAGCUGUUCACUGUGGCCAAGGGAUAUACUGCCUCUGAAGUGCACGUUACUCACCUGUAAAUUGGGAAGGCUCACCAGGAGAGAGGGAAGUUUCCGUGAGAUGACUCCUGGAGGCUUGUUUCAGAGAUGCUCUCCGUGUGAGGUUGUUGUGAGGAACUUGGCAGGCACGUGCCCCUUCAUCUUCGGGGCUUUCUCGCUCCUCUCACUGCCGACUAUGCCCAGAUAUGCCCAUGGAAGAGACAUAUUGGUCCCCAAGACAAUUAUGUCUCUAAACCAAGAUUCAAAGGGAUGAGCAAAGGGGAAAACAAGCCUUUCAAGUCACAGUGAGUAGGAAAUCGUGAGCUGUGUUUCCUUCCUUCUUAAAUUACUGUUUACAUUGGGGUAACCUAUUGAGAGAACACUGUUCUGGAAUCCUGGAAAAUGAGCUCUGCUGGAACUCACUGUGUGACCCUGGGCAAGUCACUGUGUCUCUGAACCUCACUCUUCUAACAAAGGAGCCAGACCAGGAGUCCCUAAAGAAGAGCGUUGUAUGAGAGAACACGUUCUAGACGCAAAGAGCCCUGGCUUCAAAUCUCAGUUCCUGUGGCUUACCCGCCAUAUGGCCUUGACCUCUUGAAGUCUCAGCUUCCUGGUCUAUAAAGUACUCAAAGUACCUAUCUAGUAUGGUUAUCCUGAGGAUUAAAGGAAAUAAACUAUGUGAGAAACUGAGGCUCCAGGAUGUUACAGAUCAGCAUUUCCCUGUUCAGGCAGAUAUGGAAUCAGUUUUCACAGGAAAAAAUUUGAAGACAUCACCAAAGCCUCAUGUGGUUAAAAACAGAAACGAGGGAGCUGAAGACACGAGCUACCUGGCUGAAGGUUGGCGAUGGGCGGAGGGCAGAGGAGAAGCAGGGCUUUCCACCUCCUGCCUGCUCGCAGCGGUCUGCAAAGCUCCUGAGUGAGGCUAGGUAGUUUCCAUUCACCCCUGCAAAUCCACUUUCCACCUGGGUCUCUCUGAGCCCGGGAGCCUGGUCUUUGUGGACCCCAUCAAUCCUGCGGCUUCUACUUGGGUUCGGCCAACGGGAAGCACCCUCCAGAGAUGCAAAGGCAAGAGAGCAGUCAGGGUCUUUGUUCCCUGCUCCCUCCUUCGGGGCCACAGGUUGGCAGUGGGUGUUCCUCCACCAAAGGUCUCAAUUCUCAUCAGACAGCUUUCUGCUUAAGCCACAGCACAGCUCUGGCUCUCUCUAAGGACACUGUUACCAGUCCCUACCAUCCCCUGUUUGUGUCCCUUAACUCCAUUUGCACCUUUGUUAAUAGUCCCUUCAUUAAACUCGUCUCAACGCCCCAUUGGAGCGAGCCAUUUGUUUCCUGUUUGGACCCAGAGUAAUUCAGUACUAGAACCGUAGGUCAGGAAGGCAUGGCAAAAGUCUUCUGCUCCUGCAGUUUUCAAAUUUUUACUUUGACCUGAAGAGAUGUAGUAAGAAUCACGAUUGUAAAAGUAAUGAAGUUCGAGAAGCCCGUGGAACCCUGCCUGCUCAGCC
ensembl:lncRNA